UGCGCGACGGCGCCGUGCCCGACGCGCUGCUGGUGCCCGUGGGCAUCGCCUACGACCUGGCUCCGGGCGGGCUGCAGCAGCGUGCAGCGCCCCCGGAGCCCCUGGGGCUGGGCUCGUGUCUGCGGGCAGCGUUCCAGGCCCUGUGCUGCCGCCACCAUGGCUUUGCCCGCGUGGAUUUCUCUCAGCCCUUCUCCCUACGGGAGUUUGUGGACAACAACCUGGUGGGGCCCAUGCUCAGAGGGAGUCCCCCGGAGCAGCUGCUGCUUCCCACCAUCCUGGGCAGGGGCCUGCUGGAUGUGGGGAGUGUGGGGAAUCCGGGCCCCACUCUGGGGACAGAAGAGGAGAUUUUGGUGACAGCACUGGGGCUGCACGCACUGAGCGGUGAGGGGCGGGCUGGGGGGUCCCUGCAUCCCUUG
rnacentral:lncRNA from 1 species